rnacentral:rRNA from 1 species
CCAAUGACGCAGUCUGACCGCAGCCCGCCGCGUGAGUGAAGAAGGUUUUCGGAUCGUAAAACUCUGUUGUUAGAGAAGAAUGUUGCAUAGAGUGGAAAAUUAUGCAAGUGACGGUAUCUAACCAGAAAGGGACGGCUAACUACGUGCCAGCAGCCGCGGUAAUAA